rnacentral:rRNA from 1 species
CCUACGGGCGGCAGCAGUGGGGAAUAUUGGACAAUGGGGGGAACCCUGAUCCAGCGACGCCGCGUGAGUGAAGAAGUAUUUCGGUAUGUAAAGCUCUAUCAGCAGGGAAGCAAGAAAUGACGGUACCUGACUAAGAAGCCCCGGCUAACGACGUGCCAGCAGCCGCGGGAAUACGUAGGGGGCAAGCCUUAACCGGAUUUACUGGGUGUAAAGGGAGCGUAGGGGGUUACGCAAGUCCGGAGUGAAUGGCGGGGGCCCAACCCCCGGACUGCUUUGGAAACUGGAUUACUGGAGUGCAGGAGAGGUAAGUGGAAUUCCUAGUGUAGCGGUGAAAUGCGUAGAUAUUAGGAAGAACACCAGUGGCGAAGGCGGCUUACUGGACUGUAACUGACGUUGAGGCUCGAAAGCGUGGGGAGCAAACAGGAUUAGAUACCCCAGUAGUC